UACGGAAGGCAGCAGUGGGGAAUAUUGCACAAUGGGCGCAAGCCUGAUGCAGCCAUGCCGCGUGUAUGAAGAAGGCCUUCGGGUUGUAAAGUACUUUCAGUCGUGAGGAAGGUGUUAAGGUUAAUAACCUUAGCAAUUGACGUUAGCGACAGAAGAAGCACCGGCUAACUCCGUGCCAGCAGCCGCGGUAAUACGGAGGGUGCGAGCGUUAAUCGGAAUUACUGGGCGUAAAGGGCACGCAGGCGGUUAAUUAAGUUGGAUGUGAAAUCCCCGGGCUUAACCUGGGAAUGGCAUUCAAGACUGGUUAGCUAGAGUCUUGUAGAGGGGGUAGAAUUCCAUGUGUAGCGGUGAAAUGCGUAGAGAUGUGGAGGAAUACCGGUGGCGAAGGCGGCCCCUGGACAAAGACUGACGCUCAUGUGCGAAAGCGUGGGGAGCAAAACAGGAUUAGAUA
rnacentral:rRNA from 1 species